rnacentral:lncRNA from 1 species
CAGCACUGAAUACCUACUAUCUCCAUUUCCUAUUAUGGAUAGAUUCCUGGCAAAUGGUCUUGGCUUGGGCUUUUUAAUAUCCUGAAUGCUUCUUCCUUGAAGGACCCAAUGUUUCUUCCAGACUUUACAAAAAGAGCACUGUCUUUGGUGCUGAAACAACACAUGAUUGCAUUUUGAUUAAAAAAAUAUAUAUACAAAAGGGAAGAGCCAGUGAUCAGCUCAACAGAAUGAAG